ACUUCAUGGAGGAAUAGAAGAUUCCCCUCCACACACCCAUGCCUGCCGAUGGGUGUGUGUAAGACGCACACAGGGUCUUUCUAGAAUGUCCUCCCUAACAGAGUGGAAAAUCAGAUGGAUUCCAGCUGUAAAGAACUCAGAGGACCCAAGUGAAGGAAACUCACCAUUUUUGGGAUGAGGUUCAGUUCCUCCUUCCUCUCCAGCAUCUUCAGCUUUGAGCCCACAGCAUCAACCUGGGACACGACCCCUUCCAGGAUACUCUCCAGCUGCAGCACUCUCCUUGUGAGCCUGCGUGGGAUUUGAGAGAGACCAAGGAAGCAGGAAUGAGGUACCACUGCUCUUGAAUCUUCUGACCUACACCGAAUGGGGAUGGAGCAGGCAAAGCAGGAUGGAUCAAUUUCAUUUCAAUUUUAGUAUAUGUGCUGCCGAAGCGAGCACAAGACCUCGUCGCAUCUGUUCCUGCUCCUUCUCAUCCAGAAUGUGAUUCCCAUCCUGAUCAAACCUGGUGAAAGCAGUGGUGAGCUCACAGACCUCAUGUUCCUCGUGCCCCAGUCUGAGAAAAGCAAGAGGAUGAAGCAACUUUAACCACUCAAAUACAGCCCACUGCCCUUGUACUAGACUCUUGUUAGAGUCUUGAUCUCUGAGUCUUCACUUCUGAAGAAGAGGAGGAUCACAUGGAAAAGCCAGGAUCUUUAGGGUCCAACUAUUGUACUCCCAAUAAGUUCUUUCAUUUCUUCACAUCCUGACUCUUACUGGCUCUGUUAGGACCUCUGGGUCUCAUCCAGAAAUUAUUACAUUUCCUUGCCCCUAAAUAACCAGCUGCCACCCCACAAUUCUAGCUUCCCUUUCAUUCCCUACUCCUGAAAUCCAUCCCCUAUAAUGAAAGUAAUUAACAUUAAAAAAAAAACAAGUUUAAUAUCCUAGCGUUGCAGAAUAUGUCUAUAAUUCCUAAUUAUUUGGGAAGCAGAGGCUAGAGGAAGAAUCAAAUCAAGGUGAACUGGGGUACUAAAGUGAGACCCAGCUCAAAAAUAAUAAAAUGUAAUAGAAAAUGCACAUCCAAAAGCAUUUAAUUCCCUGCUUUAAAGUCCCUCCUAAGCACCCUAUUUCUUGGAUACAGUGGUGAUGUUCAAGGCCUUGGCCAUGGUCUCAGUUCCUCCUAUAACUCCCCAUUCACUCGUUCUAACAAUGCUCAAC